CCAUUCCUACAAGGAGUAGGAAAUGGCCCACAAAUAUCCGUAUGUAUCAAUUCUAAGACGUCCGAAGCUCUCUUAGCACCUAAUCUCGUCUUGUCUGUUUGUUUACCCUUCAUACACUAAACACAAAUAUCCGAAUUUGAGGAAUCAAGAGAAUCAAGAAUUCCAUCUAACACGAGUUUCUGUAUUCUUUAAAUGGAUAUGUGACCCAAACGUUUAUGCCAGAGUGAUAUAGAAUUCUCAUUAGUUAAUUUCCUUUUGGUACCACUUAAACUUAUAUGCAAAGUUUCUUUAUUUGAAGUUAUUGUAUCAACCAAAUAUAAGCUAUCAAAUGUUGAUAAAACACCAGUACCACUUGAACUUGUAUGCAAAGUUUCACUAUGUGAGGUUAUUAUAUCAACCAAAUAUAGGCUAUCAUAUAUUGAUAAAAGACCAGUACCGAUAAUAUUUGAAUUUUGAAAGAGACUAACUUUAUUGUCACCAAAAUAACAUGAAUAACCGGAUAUGUCCAAUUUGGGAACAGAAAUUAAAUUCCGUCUAAAAGACGGUACAACAAAAGUCUCAUCCAAAUCUAAAUAAAAACCGGUCUUAAACAACAGCCUAAACUUUUCAAUAGCCUCAACUAGCACCUUCUUGUCAUCACCCACAUAGAUCUAUCUUUCACCAUCAUUUGGUUUUUGGCAGUUCAGGCAACCCUGCGUAGAUAUACUUAUGUGAGUAGUAGCAGCAGAAUCUACCCACCAAGUAUCCUUAGGUACCGAAAUUAAAUUAACUUCAGAACAAACGAGAGAAAGAGAUAUACCCUUUU
rnacentral:lncRNA from 1 species